GAGGAAAAAAAAAAAAAAGAUGUUCGAACUGCUACACAUUAAAAGCAUGUAUUUACUGUGUAGACCAUCUAAAAAAUGAAUCCUUUCUGUGGUGUGUGGCUCUGCAGGGUAGCAUUCGGGGCUCAUGAUUGGAAGGUCGCCAGUCCAGAUCCUGCGAUCAGCAGAGUGAUUUCACCACUGGGCCCCUGGGUGUCAACUUCCCUCUAAAAAUGGUAAUAUGUAGCUGUUGGACUGAAGAAACAAAUAAUGGAAGAGAAUAAGUCUGCUAAAAUGUGCCAGGAAGUUAUAAAAGCUGUGGGAUCGGUGAAGAAGAGGCAGCAACAUCACCUAUCCUACGUCCUGCAUGUCCCCCCCCAGUUACUAAGUGCUGUACUUUCUUUGUCAUUCAAUGCAACGUCACUAUUUUGUUCCAAGGCUGCCAUGUCGUUAUCAGUGACACCACAGGGGUCACAAGACAUCUGCAUCCUGCUCCCACAGAAGAGCGAAGGUUCUGACUUUACAAUAAACUGCAAACGAGAAACAGACAUAGUGCUAAAGAGCCCGUGCUCCGCUGCGUUGGAGCUAUUGGCGCACGCCAAC